rnacentral:rRNA from 1 species
UGCAAAUCAAUAUAAAUUGAUAAUAAAAUUUAUUUAUUAAUUAUUUUAAUUAUUGUUUAUAUAAAUUAUAAUAUAUAUAUAUAUAUAUAUAUAUAUAUAUAUAUUGAAUUUAUUUUAUUAAAAAUAUUUAUUGAAUUUUUUUGUUUUAGUAAUUUUUAUUGAAAAAAUAGUUUUUAUUAUAAUUUAAUUGUAUUGUGAAAGGAUAUUGAAAUAAAUUGAAAAAUUUAUAUUUUAAAAGAAUAAUUAAUUUUUAGUACCUUGUGUAUCAGGGUUUAUUAAAUAAAUAAUAUUUAUUUAUAUUAAUCUCGAUUUUAUAAGAUUUAAUAAUUUAAAAAAUUUAAUGUUUUAUAAUUAUUUUAAAUAAAUUAUUAGAAAUGAAGUGUUAUUCGUUUAUAAAGAUAUCUAGUUUUUUUAAAAUAAAUUUAAUUUAUAAAUUUUUAAUUUUUUAAUUAUUUAAUAAUUUAAAAAUUUAAAAAUUUAAUUAUUUUAAGGGAUAAGCUUUAAAAUAAAUAAAUUAUAAAUUAAUAAAUUAUAAUUAAAAUUAUAUGGUUAGAAUUAUCAAUUAUUUAUAAGUUUGUUUUAAAUUAUUUUAUUAUAAGUAUAAUUUAUUAAUUUUUAAUUAAUUUAUAAAAAUUUUUAUAUAAAUUUAAAAUAUAAAAUAAUAAUGAUAAAAUUAGUAUAUUAUGGUGUAAAUUUAUUUUUAUAUGAUAAGUUUAAAUAAAGAACUCGGCAAAUUUUAUUCUCGCCUGUUUAACAAAAACAUGUCUUUUUGAAUUUAAUUUAAAGUUUAACCUGCCCAAUGAAUUUAUUUUAAUGGCCGCAGUAUUUUAACUGUGCAAAGGUAGCAUAAUCAUUAGUUUUUUAAUUGAAGGCUUGUAUGAAUGGUUGGACGAAGUAUAUACUGUUUCAUAUAAAUUUAUUUUAGAAUUUUAUAUUUUAGUAAGAAAGCUAAAAUAUUAUUAAAAGACGAGAAGACCCUAUAAAUCUUUAUAUUUAUUUUUUAUUUAAAUUUUUUUGAAACAUUUUGUUUUUAUAAUAAAUUAUAUUUUGUUGGGGUGAUAUUAAAAUUUAUAUAACUUUUAAUUUUUUAUAAAACAUUAAUUUAUGAAUUAUUGAUCUUUUAAUAAUGAUUAUAAGAAUAAGUUACUUUAGGGAUAACAGCGUAAUUUUUUUGGAGAGUUCAUAUCGAUAAAAAGGUUUGCGACCUCGAUGUUGGAUUAAGAUAAAUAUUUAGGUGUAGAAGUUUAAAUAUUUAAGUCUGUUCGACUUU